GCUCACCUGCGCCGGGACGGAAAGGACAGGGUGGCCGAGCCCGGCGGGCGCGACCAGGCGAGGCAACUCCCGCCCAGGGCCCGACUUCCUCACCGGCCGCGGGUCCCGGAGAAUCCUGAUCUCAGACCUUCUUUGUGCUUCAGGGUUGGUGAGCCCAGACCCAUGGAUGCCUAUAACAGUGCCUGAGACACAGAAGAUACUCAAGAACUACUUGAUGAAUGAAUGACUUCUCAGCAUGGAAAUCAGUCCUAUAAGACAGCUGUACAUAAAUUUUUGGACAGAUGCUUCAUCCAGGACUUAUGCUGUUGGUUUCUGGGCUUUCGGCUGCCACCACG